UACGAAGGGGGCUAGCGUUGCUCGGAAUCACUGGGCGUAAAGCGCACGUAGGCGGAUUGCUAAGUCAGGGGUGAAAUCCUGGAGCUCAACUCCAGAACUGCCUUUGAUACUGGCGAUCUUGAGUCCGGGAGAGGUGAGUGGAACUGCGAGUGUAGAGAUGAAAUUCGUAGAUAUUCGCAAGAACACCAGUGGCGAAGGCGGCUCACUGGCCCGGUACUGACGCUGAGGUGCGAAAGCGUGGGGAGCAAACAGG
rnacentral:rRNA from 1 species